rnacentral:rRNA from 1 species
UACGAAGGGGGCUAGCGUUGCUCGGAAUCACUGGGCCUAAAGCGCACGUAGGCGGCUUUCUAAGUCAGGGGUGAAAUCCUGGAGCUCAACUCCAGAACUGCCUUUGAUACUGGGAAGCUCGAGUCCGGAAGAGGUGAGUGGAACUCCGAGUGUAGAGGUGAAAUUCGUAGAUAUUCGCAAGAACACCAGUGGCGAAGGCGGCUCACUGGCCCGAUACUGACGCUGAUGCACGAAAGCGUGGGGAUCAAACAGG